rnacentral:lncRNA from 10 species
CGAAGUACGACCUUCCGGGUGCACUCCAUUGAAUGGAAGAAAGCUUCUGAUAGACGUGCAUUCAACUUCCUAAACACACUGCACAGGCUCAGUUCCCCGGGGUAAGGAACGCACUGUGCAUGCGGGAAGACCACCCUAAGGGAAGAAUCAUGAGAAACAGGCAAGUCUAUAAAGUCCUGGAAUCAAGGUUAAAUGCUGUCUUUGACCUUCAGGCACCCUCUUGGAUCUUUUCCAAUUGAAUUCUUCAUUCUGAGAAGGCAAGAACUGAAGUUGCUGCAGACCCGCAUGGAUACCAGUAACUCGGGAUAACUCGGACCUCUUCCACUGGUAACAUCAGUGACUCUUGUUUUUUGUUUGUUUUUCUAUCAUUUAAUACUGUUGCUAAAAUAAGGAAGUAUUUAUUAAAAUGAUUGCUGAAAGUGUGAAUAACUAAAUGAUCAUUUAGCUUUAUGGCAGGUGUCUUAUCUGGAAGGCGUAAUAUCAUGGUAUGUACAAACUUGAAAGAACUUAAGUAACAUGUAAAUUUCGAGUCUCUUUAAAACAUACAUUUUGUCUAUAUUUUCAACAAAUGGUAUAAAUUCAAUAAAAAGUAUAUCAGCUCUCAAACACAGUAUUUAUAAGAACAUAGGCAAUUUAGUGGCCAUUGUUUUUACUAGUUUUAAUCAUGUGAAAUUGCCAUUUUUCUAAUAUCCACAAAUGUGUGAAUAUAAGCAAUUACGUUUUAAACUAAAUAUCAGUACAGAAAAAAUCUGCAUAUACAUUAACUAUCAAGCUUUUAAAACACUAAAUUCUUUAGGAAACUUUAAAUAUGCACAUUUGAUUUACAUCAAACAUCUUUUGAUAGGGAUGAUAUAAAUAUCCAGUUGCCUUUUUGAUCAAAUUUUGCAUAGUAAGGAUUUUGCAUUUGAACAAAU